GACCUGGUGGUGUAGUGGCAACACAUCUUGGUACUGUAACUCUGAGCGGUAUUUUCCCAAGAGAUCCCCUGUUCGACUCGGGGCUAGGUCG